rnacentral:rRNA from 1 species
GAUGAACGCUGGCGGCGUGCCUAAUACAUGCAAGUCGAGCGAACAGACGAUGAGCUUGCUCCUCUGACGUUAGCGGCGGACGGGUGAGUAACACGUGGAUAACCUACCUAUAAUACUGGGAUAACUUCGGGAAACCGGAGCUAAUACCGGAUAAUAUAUUGAACCGCAUGGUUCAAUAGUGAAAGACGGUUUUGCUGUGACUUAUAGAUGGAUCCGCGCCGCAUUAGCUAGUUGGUAAGGUAACGGCUUACCAAGGCAACGAUGCGUAGCCGACCUGAGAGAGUGAUCGGCCCAACUGAAACUGAGACACGCUCCAGACUCCUAGGGAAGGCAGAGGUAGGGAAUUUUCCGCAAUGGGCGAAAGCCUGACGGAGCAACGCGGCGGGAGUGAUGAGGCUCUUCGGAUCGUAAACCUCUGUUAUUGGGAAAGAAAAAAUGUGUAAGUAACUAUGCACGUCUGGCGGGAACCUAAUAAGAAAGCCCCGGCUACUUCGGG